rnacentral:rRNA from 1 species
GGAGGGUACAAGCGUUAAUCGGAAUUACUGGGCGUAAAGCGCGCGUAGGCGGUUAAGUAAGUUGGGAUGUGAACGCCCUGGGCUCAACCUAGGAACUGCAUUCAAAACUAUUUAACUAGAGUACGAGAGAGGAGAGUAGAAUUUCUGGUGUAGCGGUGAAAUGCGUAGAUAUCAGAAGGAAUACCAAUGGCGAAGGCAGCUCUCUGGAUCGUCACUGACGCUAAGGUGCGAAAGCGUGGGUAGCAAACAGGAUUAGAUACCCUGGUAGUCCACGCCGUAAACGAUGAGAACUAGCCGUUGGGGAGAAUUAACUCUCCAGUGGCACAGCUAACGCAUUAAGUUCUCCGCCUGGGGACUACGGCCGCAAGGCUAAAACUCAAAUGAAUUGACGGGGGCCCGCACAAGCGGUGGAUCAUGUGGUUUAAUUCGAUGCAACGCGAAGAACCUUACCUACCCUUGAAAUCCAGCGAAGUUCCUAGAGAUAGGAAUGUGCCUUCGGGAACGCUGUGACAGGUGUUGCAUGGCUGUCGUCAGCUCGUGUCGUGAGAUGUAUGGUUAAGUCCAGUAACGAGCGCAACCCCUAUCCUUAUUUGCCAGCGCAUAAUGGCGGGAACUAUAAGGAGACUGCCGGUCAUAAACCGGAGGAAGGCGGGGACGACGUCAAGUCAUCAUGGCCCUUAUGGGUAGGGCUACACACGUGAUACAAUGGGUGGUACAGAGGGUCGCCAAAGCGCGAGCUGGAGCCAAACCCUUAAAACCAUUCUUAGUCCGGAUUGGAGUCUGCAACUCGACUCCAUGAAGUUGGAAUCGCUAGUAAUCGCGAAUCAGAAUGUCGCGGUGAAUACGUUCUCGGGCCUU